rnacentral:rRNA from 1 species
GGGGAGGGUCAUUGGAAACUGGGGAACUUGAGUGCAGAAGAGGAGAGUGGAAUUCCACGUGUAGCGGUGAAAUGCGUAGAGAUGUGGAGGAACACCAGUGGCGAAGGCGACUCUCUGGUCUGUAACUGACGCUGAGGAGCGAAGCGUGGGGAGCGAACAGGAUUAGAUACCCUGGUAGUCCACGCCGUAAACGAUGAGUGCUAAGUGUUAGGGGGUUUCCGCCCCUUAGUGCUGCAGCUAACGCAUUAAGCACUCCGCCUGGGGAGUACGGUCGCAAGACUGAAACUCAAAGGAAUUGACGGGGGC